CUUCCGGUAUGACGUCACUUUGUUGACAGUUUGAUCGGUUGUACUUUUUCUGAUACGAGAGUGAAAGCCGGUUCGAGCCGAGAUAUAGAACGACUACUAUGAAGCACAUUCGCCUCAGCAGCAUGAGGAAUAUCCUGGUAAACAGCAGCUUACGCAACAGCAGCACCAAAAGCAACAGUACCUUGGGGAUGAAAUCGGGCGCCAGAAAGGCGAGGGAAUUGAUCGGUGGUCGCCAAAAGCAUGAGCUCUUCGUCGGCGCGGUUGAUGUGAACGUCAAACUUACAAAUUAAAGUUUGUGAACUCUU